rnacentral:rRNA from 1 species
CCUACGGGAGGCUGCAGUGAGGAAUAUUGGUCAAUGGGCGGGAGCCUGAACCAGCCAAGCCGCGUGAGGGAAGAAGGUACAGCGUAUCGUAAACCUCUUUUGUCAGGGAACAAAGGCGGGGACUAGUCCCCGGAUGAGGGUACCUGAAGAAAAAGCAUCGGCUAACUCCGUGCCAGCAGACGCGGUAAUACGGAGGAUGCGAGCGUUAUCCGGAUUGAUUGGGUUGAAAGGGUGCGCAGGCGGCCUGUUAAGUCAGCGGUAAAAGCCCGGGGCUCAACCCCGGCGAGCCGUUGAAACUGGCGGGCUGGAGUUGGAGAGAAGUACGCGGAAUGCGCGGUGUAGCGGUGAAAUGCUUAGAUAUCGCGCAGAACCCCGAUUGCGAAGGCAGCGUACCGGCUCCACACUGACGCUGAGGCACGAAAGCGUGGGUAUCGAACAGGAUUAGAUACCCCAGUAGUC